rnacentral:rRNA from 1 species
CCUACGGGAGGCAGCAGUGGGGAAUAUUGCACAAUGGGGGAAACCCUGAUGCAGCGACGCCGCGUGAGUGAAGAAGUAAUUCGUUAUGUAAAGCUCUAUCAGCAGGGAAGAAAAUGACGGUACCUGAGUAAGAAGCCCCGGCUAACUACGUGCCAGCAGCCGCGGUAAUACGUAGGGGGCAAGCGUUAUCCGGAUUUACUGGGUGUAAAGGGAGCGUAGACGGCAGUGCAAGUCUGGAGUGAAAGGCGGGGGCUCAACCCCCGGACUGCUCUGGAAACUGUACGGCUGGAGUGCAGGAGGGGUAAGUGGAAUUCCUAGUGUAGCGGUGGAAUGCGUAGAUAUUAGGAGGAACACCAGUGGCGAAGGCGGCUUACUGGACUGUAACUGACGUUGAGGCUCGAAAGCGUGGGGAGCAAACAGGAUUAGAUACCCCAGUAGUC